rnacentral:rRNA from 1 species
AUACGUAGGUGGCAAGCGUUGUCCGGAAUCAUUGGGCGUAAAGCGCGCGCAGGCGGUCCUUUAAGUCUGAUGUGAAAUCUUGCGGCUCAACCGUAAGCGGUCAUUGGAAACUGGGGGACUUGAGUGCAGGAGAGGAAAGCGGAAUUUCAUGUGUAGCGGUGAAAUGCGUAGAGAUAUGGAGGAACACCAGUGGCGAAGGCGGCUUUCUGGCCUGUAGCUGACGCUGAGGCGCGAAAGCGUGGGGAGCAAACAGGAUUAGAUACCCUGGUAGUCCACGCCGUAAACGAUGAGUGCUAAGUGUUGGAGGGUUUCCGCUCUUCAGUGCUGCAGCUAACGCAUUAAGCACUCCGCCUGGGGAGUACGGUCGCAAGACUGAA